rfam:Ornithorhynchus anatinus chromosome 2, whole genome shotgun sequence.
GGCAGAGUGGCUUAGUGGCUAGAGCAUGGGCCUGGGAGUCAGAAGAACCUGAGUUCUAACCCCAGUUCUGCCA